UACAGAGGUCUCAAGCGUUGUUCGGAAUCACUGGGCGUAAAGGGUGCGUAGGCCGCACGGUAAGUCAGAGGUGAAAUCCCGGAGCUCAACUCCGGAAUGGCCUCCGAAACUGCCUUGCUCGAGUAUGGGAGAGGGAAGUGGAAUUUCCGGUGUAGCGGUGAAAUGCGUAGAUAUCUGGAGGAACACCGGUGGCGAAGGCGGCAUCCUGGACCAACACUGACGCUGAGGAGCGAAAGCCAGGGGAGCAAACGGG
rnacentral:rRNA from 1 species